rfam:Clostridium botulinum A str. ATCC 3502 complete genome
UACUUAUGGAGAGGUGCUGUAAUUAAUAGUAUUUAUUCUUAGUCGGCAGACUUUGAGGAAUAAAAAAAGGAAUUAUGGCCGAAGGAAAAGGUUUGGCAAAAGUUUUUUCUGGCUUUGCACAAAAUAUGUGUAGGGCUGUCACUUGAAAAAGUGGAGAGCUGCAUAGGUA